rnacentral:piRNA from 1 species
UGUGAGGAUGGUAUACAGUUUUUCUAAUUGC